rnacentral:rRNA from 1 species
GAUGAACGCUGGCGGCGUGCUUAACACAUGCAAGUCGAACGAAGUACUUUUUUUGAUUUCCUUCGUGUCUGUUUCUUUUUUGACUGAGUGGCGGACGGGUGAGUAACGCGUGGGUAUCCUGCCUUGUACAGGGGGAUAUCAUUUGGAAACGUCUGCUACUAUCGCAUAAGUGCACAACCUCGUAUGCUGCAGUUUGAAAAAUUCGGGUAGCAUAAGGUUGACAUGCGGUAGAUUAGGUAUUUGGUGAGGUAACGGCCCACCAAGGCAACGAUCCAUAGCCGAGCUGAUAGAGUGACAGGUAACAAAGGAAGAGACACACGACCCAAACUUCUACGGGAGGCAGCAGUGGGUAGUAUUGCACUAUGCGCAAAAACCUGAUGCAGCUACGCCGCGUAAGCGAAGAAGUAUUUCGUUAUGUAAAGCUCUAUCAGCAGGGAAGAUAAUGACGUUACCUGACUAAGAGGCGCCGGCUAAAUACGUG